rnacentral:rRNA from 1 species
UACGUAGGAGGCAAGCGUUGUCCGGAAUUACUGGGCGUAAAGCGCGUGUAGGCGGUCUGAAUAGUCUGCUGUGAAAGCGCCUGGCUUAACCGGGCGAGGUCGGCGGAAACUCUCAGACUGGAGGCCGGUAGAGGGGGUGGAAUUCCCGGUGUAGUGGUGAAAUGCGUAGAGAUCGGGAGGAACACCUGUGGCGAAGGCGGCCCCCUGGGCCGCGCCUGACGCUGAGACGCGAAGGCUAGGGGAGCGAACGGG